UAACGCGUGGGCAACCUGCCCCAUACAGGGGGAUAACAGCCGGAAACGGCUGCUAAAACCGCAUAAGCGCACAAGGGCCGCAUGGCCUGGUGUGAAAAACUCCGGUGGUAUGGGAUGGGCCCGCGUCUGAUUAGCUAGUUGGCGGGGGAGAGGCCCACCAAGGCGACGAUCAGUAGCCGACCUGAGAGGGUGGCCGGCCACAUUGGGACUGAGACACGGCCCAAACUCCUACGGGAGGCAGCAGUGGGGAAUAUUGCACAAUGGGGGAAACCCUGAUGCAGCGACGCCGCGUGAGCGAAGAAGUAUUUCGGUAUGUAAAGCUCUAUCAGCAGGGAAGAAAAAUGACGGUACCUGAGUAAGAAGCACCGGCUAAAUACGUGCCAGCAGCCGCGGUAAUACGUAUGGUGCAAGCGUUAUCCGGAUUUACUGGGUGUAAAGGGAGCGCAGGCGGUGCGGCAAGUCUGAUGUGAAAGCCCGGGGCUCAACCCCGGGACUGCAUUGGGAACUACCGAACUAGAGUGUCGGAGAGGUAAGUGGAAUUCCUAGUGUAGCGGUGAAAUGCAUAGAUAUUAGGAGGAACACCAGUGGCGAAGGCGGCUUACUGGACUGUAACUGACACUGAGGCUCGAAAGCGUGGGGAGCAAACAGGAUUAGAUACCCUGGUAGU
rnacentral:rRNA from 1 species